UCUUUUGCUCGUCUUCUAACUUCUCCUUCACCUUCUCAUCAACAACAUCUUCGUCUUUGUUGUUCUUCUUCUUCUUCUUCUCCUUCUUUCUCUCCC
rnacentral:sRNA from 1 species